AGGCCUUGACAUGGGAUGCAAAGAAGCAGAGAUGCUUUGGAGGCUAUCAUCCACACAGGUGGUGCAUGGUUGUCGUCAGUUCGUGUCGUGAGAUGUUGGGUUAAGUCCCGCAACGAACGCAACCCCUGUGAUAUGUUGCUACCAUUCAGUUGAGGACUCAUAUCAGACUGCCGGUGACAAACCGGAGGAAGGCGGGGAUGACGUCAAAUCAUCAUGCCCCCUAUGGCCUGGGCUACACACGUACUACAAUGGCGCCUGCAAAGGGAAGCGACCCUGCAAGGGGGAGCAAAUCCGAUAAAGGGCGUCCCAGUUCGGAUUGAAGUCUGCAACCCGGCUUCAUGAAGUUGGAAUCGCUAGUAAUCGCAGAUCAGCAUGCUGCGGUGAAUACGUUCUCGGGCC
rnacentral:rRNA from 1 species